GCCAACAGGACCUCAUAAAGUCCUGUGGAGGUCAGCAGUGCUUGGUGCUGAACCUACAAUGUGGAGCUGUAGGAGUUGGAUGCUUUUCAGAGAGCUUUAAAUACUUGUUUUGACAUCUGAAGACUUUUAGACAUGGACAGAUGAGAAGUAAAUUCUCUCUGCAUUAAGCCUGUAAUUCUGCACAGGAAAUCUUGCUCCACAGAAUGGAGAUGCACAUGCUGAGAGUUUCAUUCCACUUACAUUUUAUUUCAUUCCCGUUCAGCACCUGGGCUAUUUGCGUGUGUAAAAGAAGAAAUGUGCUUAAGAGACCUGAGUUAAGGCCAUUCCAGCCCUACCUCAAACACUACAACAUGGAAGGAACACAAGAAAACAAGGUGAUAGCAGCGAUCUACUACUCAAGGUUGAGAAACCUCCACUGGGAUCAACUUAAAAAAGCUGCUAGCAGCCACCUGGGAGCCCCCACUCACCGUGACCUCACUGCUAUGGAUGGAAUGGCUUCCUAAGGGUGCUUGUGCCAGUUCGGAAGGUCUGGAGUUAGUGUUAUACCACAGUCUGAGCUUCUGUGUUCGGUCUCUGUAUCAUACACGAACAAGUUAAAAAAUAGAGGCCAUGUAAACACUUUAA